AGCUUCAUGGCGCAGUGGUAGCGCAUCGGACUAAUAGCUCGGGGUCCUCUGUUCGAACCGGAGUGAAGCUC